GUUGUGUUUGCUCUGAUUUUGGCUCUUUUGAUUCAUGACAAGCUGCUGACAUUGAUUGCAAUCAUAUGUGAGAUCUGUGCGCUCUUCUAGCGGCAAUGGCAAGAGCAUAUUGUGCAGAGGAAGAGGAUGAGAAGAAACUUCUGGUUCUCAUCCAAUCUUUGUGGAACUCUCUUUAUAUGCGAUUGUGCAAUUGUUGGAACCUUUCUGUGUGUACUUGCACUUGCGGCAGUAUUCUGUUGUGCACAUGUAAAAUUAUUUUGAUGUGCCCUUUUUAGGCGUUGAACCUUAAUGCGUGGAUUC